UACGAAGGGGGCUAGCGUUGCUCGGAAUCACUGGGCGUAAAGCGCACGUAGGCGGCUUUCUAAGUCAGGGGUGAAAUCCUGGAGCUCAACUCCAGAACUGCCUUUGAUACUGGGAAGCUUGAGUCCGGGAGAGGUGAGUGGAACUCCGAGUGUAGAGGUGAAAUUCGUAGAUAUUCGGAAGAACACCAGUGGCGAAGGCGGCUCACUGGCCCGGUACUGACGCUGAGGUGCGAAAGCGUGGGGAGCAAACAGG
rnacentral:rRNA from 1 species